rnacentral:sRNA from 1 species
AUGCACCACGCGUACACUCCGGUUCGUGCGCGCCGUCCGCACCCACCUGACAACCGCUUGCUACGUUUUGCUAGCC